rnacentral:rRNA from 1 species
UACGGAGGGUGCAAGCGUUAAUCGGAAUUACUGGGCGUAAAGCGCACGUAGGUGGUUCGCUAAGUCAGCUGUGAAAUCCCCGGGCUCAACCUGGGACUUGCAGUUGAAACUGGUGAGCUAGAGUAGGGUAGAGGGGUGUGGAAUUCCAGGUGUAGCGGUGAAAUGCGUAGAUAUCUGGAGGAACAUCAGUGGCGAAGGCGACACCCUGGGCUCAUACUGACACUGAGGUGCGAAAGCGUGGGGAGCGAACAGG